rnacentral:lncRNA from 1 species
GUCAUCUAGUGUCAUCUACCGUCAUCUACUGUCAUCUACCGUCAUCUACCGUCAUCUAGUGUCAUCUAGAGUCAUCUACUGUCAUCUACUGUCAUCUAGUGUAAUCCACCGUCAUCUAGUGUCAUCUACCGUCAUGUAGUGUCAUCUAGUGUCAUCUACCGUCAUCUACUGUCAUCUACUGUCAUCUACCGUCAUCUACCGUCAUCUAGUGUCAUCUACUGUCAUCUACUGUCAUCUACCGUCAUCUAGAGUCAUCUACCGUCAUCUAGUGUCAUCUACCGUCAUCUACUGUCAUCUAGUGUCAUGUAGUGUCAUCUAGUGUCAUCUACCGUCAUCUAGUGUCAUAUACCGUCAUCUAGUGUAAUCCACCGUCAUCUAGUGUCAUCUAGUGUGAUCUACCGUCAUCUACCGUCAUCUACUGUCAUCUAC